UGCUUUGUUCGCUUAGAUAAAAUAAGUUAUUAUCUUAUUUUAACUCCUAAUAAUAAAGCUAAAUAAAACUUAUUGCUUAUCGAACAUUAAAUCACACUUCAUUGUGGUUUAAUUUUGCAAUUCUCAAACAUAA
rnacentral:snoRNA from 14 species